UGUUUAGUUUUAUUGGGCAUUCGGUGGAUGCCUUGGCAUCAAGAGCUGAUGAAGGACGUUGCGGCCUGCGAUAUGCCUCGGGGAGCUGGCGAGCGAGCGUUAUUAUCCGAGGGUGUCCGAAUGGGGGAACCUAACCUGGGUUGUGCUGGGUUACCAUCAUCUGAACGUGUAUAGGGUGGUGGGGGGAACGCGGGGAAGUGAAACAUCUCAGUACCCGCAGGAAAAGAUAUUCCGUGAGUAGUGGCGAGCGAAAGCGGAGGAGGCUAAACCAGAUGCGUGUGAGAGGCGGCGGCCGUUGCGUGUUUGGUGUUGUGGGGCCAUGUCGGAUCCUUCUGCCGGGGGGUCGCGCGUGUUGUUGCUGGGAGUUGAACAGUCUGGGAUGGCUGACCGUAGAGCGUGAGAGUCGUGUAAGCGGACCGGUGGCAGGGCGUGUGGGUGUGGUACCCGAGUAGCGCGGGACUCGUGAAAUCUCGUGUGAAUCUGCCAAGACCACUUGGUAAGCCUAAAUACUACUUGAUGACCGAUAGUGCAUAGUACCGUGAGGGAAUGGUGAAAAGUACCCCGGGAGGGGAGUGAAAUAGUACCUGAAACCGUGUGCCUGUAAGCCGUCAGAGCCUUGUGGGGUGAUGGCGUGCCUUUUGAAGAAUGAGCCUGCGAGUUAGUGAUACGUGGCGUGCUUAACCCGUGUGGGGUAUGCGUAGCGAAAGCGAGUCUGAAAGAUGGCGUUUGUCGCGUGUUCUAGACCCGAAGCGGGGUGAUCUACCCAUGGUCAGGUUGAAGCAGAGGUAAGACUGUGUGGAGGACCGAACCCACCAGGGUUGAAAACCUGGGGGAUGAACUGUGGGUAGGGGUGAAAGGCCAAUCAAACUCCGUGAUAGCUGGUUCUCCCCGAAAUGCAUUUAGGUGCAGCGUCGCGUGGUCCCUGGUGGAGGUAGAGCUACUGGAUGGCCGAUGGGCCCUUUGGGUUACUGACGUCAGCCAAACUCCGAAUGCCAUUAGGUGUAGCGCGGCAGUGAGACUGCGGGGGAUAAGCUUCGUAGUCGAGAGGGAAACAGCCCAGAUCAUCAGCUAAGGCCCCUAAGCGUACGCUAAGUGGGAAAGGAUGUGGAGUCGCGGUGACAACCAGGAGGUUGGCUUAGAAGCAGCCAUCCUUGAAAGAGUGCGUAAUAGCUCACUGGUCAAGUGGUUCUGCGCCGACAAUGUAGCGGGGCUCAAGCGUACCGCCGAAGCUGUGGCAACAACACGCAAUGCUGGCGCCAGGAACUGGAGUGCUGGUGUGUUGUUGGGUAGGGGAGCGUCCUGCACGAGGUGAAGCCUGGAGGGAACUUCUGGUGGAUUGUGUGGGAGUGAGAAUGCAGGCAUGAGUAACGAAUCUGCGGUGAGAAUCCGCAGCGCCGAUUGACUAAGGGUUCCAGGGCUAGGUUUAUCCGCCCUGGGUUAGUCGGGUCCUAAGGCGAGGCCGACAGGCGUAGUCGAUGGACAACCAGUUGAUAUUCUGGUACCGCGUUAUGACCGCCCAUGCUGAAGUCAUUGUGCUAACCAAUCUGCUCACGCCGCCACUAAGCCUUCGGGUUUGUUGGUGUGUGUGGGUCUUGGGGCCCCGGUGAUUGUAGGCAAGCGUGUUAACAGGGGUGACGCAGACAGGUAGCUGCAGUGCGCCGAUGGUUGUGCGUAUUUAAGGUUGUGGCCCG
rnacentral:rRNA from 1 species